rnacentral:sRNA from 1 species
UAAUUACUAUGUAAAGAGGAGUUGCGCUAACAACUCCCCUACAGCACCGUUUAAGACGGUGGCAGAUAUUUAAGUUAAAAAAUA